GACAGAGGAUGCAAGCGUUAUCCGGAAUGAUUGGGCGUAAAGCGUCUGUAGGUGGCUUUUCAAGUCCGCCGUCAAAUCCCAGGGCUCAACCCUGGACAGGCGGUGGAAACUGCCAAGCUGGAGUACGGUAGGGGCAGAGGGAAUUUCCGGUGGAGCGGUGAAAUGCGUAGAGAUCGGAAAGAACACCAACGGCGAAAGCACUCUGCUGGGCCGAUACUGACGCUGAGGAGCGAAAGCGUGGGGAGCAAACAGG
rnacentral:rRNA from 1 species